AUUGAACGCUGGCGGCAUGCCUUACACAUGCAAGUCGAACGCGAAAGGGGGGCAACCCCCGAGUAGAGUGGCGGACGGGUGAGUAAUACAUCGGAACGUACCCAGUAGUGGGGGACAACCUCGAGAAAUCGAGGCUAAUACCGCAUACGACCCACGGGUGAAAGCGGGGGACCGCAAGGCCUCGCGCUAUUGGAGCGGCCGAUGUCCGAUUAGCUAGUUGGUGGGGUAAGAGCCCACCAAGGCGACGAUCGGUAGCUGGUCUGAGAGUACGACCAGCCAGACUGGGACUGAGACACGGCCCAGACUCUUACGGGAGGCAGCAGUGGGGAAUUUUGGACAAUGGGCGAAAGCCUGAUCCAGCUAUGCCGCGUGCAGGAAGAAGGCCUUCGGGUUGUAAACUGCUUUUGUACGGAGCGAAAAGGUCCUUUCUAAUACAAGGGGCUCAUGACGGUACCGUAAGAAUAAGCACCGGCUAACUACGUGCCAGCAGCCGCGGUAACAC
rnacentral:rRNA from 1 species